AGAGUUUGAUCAUGGCUCAGAACAAACGCUGGCGGCGUGUCUUAAGCAUGCAAGUUGAGCGGCAAGGGGGAGCGAUCCCCCCUAGAGCGGCGGACUGGUGAGUAACACGUGGAUGAUCUACCCGAGGCAUGGGGAUAGUCACUAGAAAUAGUGGGUAAUACCGAAUACGGUGCGCAUCGUGAGGGUGCGCAAGAAAGGUGCUACGGCACCGGCCUAGGAUGAGUCUGCGUCCCAUUAGCUGGUUGGUGAGGUAAGAGCCCACCAAGGCGAUGAUGGGUAGCCGGCCUGAGAGGGUGUACGGCCACACUGGGACUGAGAUACGGCCCAGACUCCUACGGGAGGCAGCAGCUAAGAAUAUUCCGCAAUGGACGAAAGUCUGACGGAGCGACGCCGCGUGGAUGAAGAAGGCCGAAAGGUUGUAAAGUUCUUUUGUUGGGGAAGAAUAACCAUGGGAGGGAAUGCCCGUGGGAUGACAUGAACCGACGAAUAAGCCCCGGCUAACUACGUGCCAGCAGCCGCGGUAACACGUAGGGGGCGAGCGUUGUUCGGAAUUACUGGGCGUAAAGGGCAUGUAGGCGGUCUUGUAAGCUUGGCGUGAAAGACCACGGCUCAACCGUGGGAUUGCGUUGAGAACUGCGAGGCUUGAGUGACGGAGAGGGAGCUAGAAUUCCUGGUGUAGGGGUGGAAUCUGUAGAGAUCAGGAAGAAUACCAAUGGCGAAGGCAAGCUCCUGGCCGAUGACUGACGCUGAGGUGCGAAAGUGUGGGGAUCAAACAGGAUUAGAUACCCUGGUAGUCCACACUGUAAACGAUGUGCACUAGGUGCUGGUACGGAUGUAUCAGUGCCGUAGCUAACGUGAUAAGUGCACCGCCCUGGGGGAGUAUGCUCGCAAGG
rnacentral:rRNA from 1 species